AGAUGCAAGCGCAGUUUGGCUGAGAUUGCUGUAAAAGCAGUUCUUGCUGUCGCAGAUUUAGAGAGGAAGGAUGUUAAUUUGGAUUUGAUAAAAGUUGAAGGGAAAGUAGGAGGCAAAUUGGAAGAUACUGAAUUAAUAUAUGGAAUAGUAGUUGACAAGGAUAUGAGUCAUCCACAGAUGCCGAAACAAAUUAAAGAUGCAAAAAUUGCUAUCUUGACUUGCCCCUUUGAACCACCUAAGCCAAAGACUAAACAUAAGGUGGAUAUUGAUACAGUGGAAAAGUUUCAGACUCUACGUAAGCAAGAACAGCAGUAUUUUGAUGACAUGGUUCAGAAAUGCAAGGAUGUUGGUGCUACCUUGGUUAUCUGUCAAUGGGGGUUUGACGAUGAGGCAAAUCAUUUAUUAAUGCACAG
rnacentral:misc_RNA from 1 species